GUUGACACUUGGCAGACACAGGACUAUUGUUCCUGUUGUUUACCAGGAGGGGUCUCUCACUCAUGGUUAUUUGCUGUGAUGGUUCUGCCUGCCUGCCUGAUCUGAGGAAUGCCAUGGUAAUUCUGAGGUGCUGAUGCUUUACAAUGCCUGAUCAAGACACAAAGGUGAAAAGCAUAGAGAAAAGCAACUGAUAAGAAGCAACAGGGGACCACCACCAGGGGACUAUCAGAUCUUAAAAGACUCCGGUGCCUGUUGAACGUCCAGUCAAGCAAACAGCACGGUAGUGUUUUCAAAGGAUGUGGUGUGCGAAUAUACACCACGGGUUUCCGCAAGGGUCC
rnacentral:lncRNA from 1 species